rnacentral:misc_RNA from 1 species
AAGCUGCGAUACGUAAUGUGAAUUGCAGGAUUAGUGAAUCAUCGAAUCUUUGAACGCAAAUGGCGCCCUUUCGGGGGCAUGCCUGUCUGAGUGUUGUUUUCCAUCCUCGCUCUUGUGCUGAAUCAUUGUAUGAUGAUUCCGCAAGGCGGCAGUGCGGGUCACGGCAGCCUGCUUUUUUUCGUAGCAAUACAAAAAAAAUGCAACAAGCAGUCGCGUCCCGUCAAGCACCGAGGCGGCGCUGCUGACCGUAGUAGCCUUUACUUGCCCUCGCAACUUGUCCAAGCGGCAGCGUUUUGUAACGCUCUGUCUUCUUCUCAAGUGUGUGUUGCGCAAGUGUUGCUCGUGUCGCAGGUGUUCUUGCCCAAAAAACAUUCUUUAUCAUUUCAACCUCAGAUCAGACAAGACUACCCGCUGAAUUUAA